rnacentral:rRNA from 1 species
GACGAACGCUGGCGGCGUGCUUAACACAUGCAAGUCGAACGAAGUGGCGAACGGGUGAGUAACGCGUAAUCAACCUGCCCUUCAGAGGGGGAGAGGAGUUGGAAACGACUGCUAAUACUGCAUACUGAAGGAGGGGAUUGCGUCUGCUUAGCUAGUGGGAGGGUGAACGGCCCACCAAGGCGAUGAUCAGUAGCCGGUCUGAGAGGGUGAACGGCCACACUGGGACUGAGACACGGCCCAGACGCCUACGGGAGGCAGCAGUUGGGAAUCUUCCGCCAUGGACUGAAGUCUGACGGAGCAACGCCGCGUGAGUGAUGACGGCCUUCGGGUUGUAAAGCUCUGUUAAUCGGGACGCGGUACCGGAAUAGAAAGCCACGGCUAACUACGUGCCAGCAGCCGCGGUAAUAC